GACGAACGCUGGCGGCGUGCUUAACACAUGCCAGUCGAACGGAAAGGCCCCCUUGUGGGGUACUCGAGUGGCGAACGGGUGAGUAACACGUGAGUAACCUACCCUUGACUUUGGGAUAACUUCAGGAAACUGGGGCUAAUACCGGAUAGGAGCUCCUGCUGCAUGGUGGGGGUUGGAAAGUUUCGGCGGUUGGGGAUGGACUCGCGGCUUAUCAGCUUGUUGGUGGGGUAGUGGCUCACCAAGGCUUUGACGGGUAGCCGGCCUGAGAGGGUGACCGGCCACAUUGGGACUGAGAUACGGCCCAGACUCCUACGUGAGGCAGCAGUGGGGAAUAUUGCACAAUGGGCGGAAGCCUGAUGCAGCAACGCCGCGUGCGGGAUGACGGCCUUCGGGGUGUAAACCGCUUUCACCUGUGACGAAGCGUGAGUGACGGUAAUGGGUAAAGAAGCACCGGCUAACUACGUG
rnacentral:rRNA from 1 species